UUUCGCCUACGGGGAGCAGCAGUGAGGAAUAUUGGUCAAUGGACGAGAGUCUGAACCAGCCACGUAGCGUGAAGGAUGACUGCCCUAUGGGUUGUAAACUUCUUUUAUAUGGGAAUAAAAUGUUCCACGUGUGGGAUUUUGUAUGUACCAUAUGAAUAAGGAUCGGCUAACUCCGUGCCAGCAGCCGCGGUAAUACGGAGGAUCCGAGCGUUAUCCGGAUUUAUUGGGUUUAAAGGGUGCGUAGGCGGACUGUUAAGUCAGCGGUAAAAGCCCG
rnacentral:rRNA from 1 species